GAUGGACGCUGGCGGCGUGCCUAAUACAUGCAAGUCGAGCGAACAGAUAAGGAGCUUGCUCCUUUGACGUUAGCGGCGGACGGGUGAGUAACACGUGGGUAACCUACCUAUAAGACUGGAAUAACUCCGGGAAACCGGGGCUAAUGCCGGAUAACAUUUAGAACCGCAUGGUUCUAAAGUGAAAGAUGGUUUUGCUAUCACUUAUAGAUGGACCCGCGCCGUAUUAGCUAGUUGGUAAGGUAACGGCUUACCAAGGCAACGAUACGUAGCCGACCUGAGAGGGUGAUCGGCCACACUGGAACUGAGACACGGUCCAGACUACUACGGGAGGCAGCAGUAGGGAAUCUUCCGCAAUGGGCGAAAGCCUGACGGAGCAACGCCGCGUGAGUGAUAAAGGUCUUCGGAUCGUAAAACUCUGUUAUUAGGGAAGAACAAAUGUGUAAGUAACUGUGCACGUCUUGACGGUACCUAAUCAGAAAGCCACGGCUAACUACGUG
rnacentral:rRNA from 1 species